CACAGCUCUGCUCUACAUGUGUCACUAUAGGGCCUAGGUGACAACUAUACAGUAGGCAACGGGAAAUGUAUAGAGUACCUACGUUGUAAGGGGACUAGUGGACAACUACACAGCUCUGCUCUACAUGUGUCACUAUAGGGCCUAGGUGACAACUAUACAGUAGGCAACGGGAAAUGUAUAGAGUACCUACGUUGUAAGGGGACUAGUGGACAACUACACAGCUCUGCUCUACAUGUGUCACUAUAGGGCCUAGGUGACAACUAUACAGUAGGCAACGGGAAAUGUAUAGAGUACCUACGUUGUAAGGGGACUAGUGGACAACUACACAGCUCUGCUCUACAUGUGUCACUAUAGGGCCUAGGUGACAACUAUACAGUAGGCAACGGGAAAUGUAUAGAGUACCUACGUUGUAAGGGGACUAGUGGACAACUACACAGC